UAGCAAGAUUAACUUUUUUAUUAAUUUUCUCGAAGCCUAAGGAGUUACUUUAUUACUGUUUUUAGAUAGAAAAUGUAAAUGUAGCAAAAUUUUAUUUAUAUUAUAAAGUAGAAAUGAAAUUUUUUUCGUAUUAGGAGAUAGCUAGUUUCGACAGAAAUAUAUUUACGUAUAGGUAAUCAGUGGGAGUUAAGCUAUGAAUAACUUAGGUAAUUUAUUGAUUUUUCUGGCCUCUAGAAGGGUGAGCUUAUAGGGGAAAAAUUGUAGUGUAAGGUGAAAGUUUGCUAGCAUCUAAGCUUGAAAUUAGCUAAGAUUAGAAGCUUGUUUUAAAGUAUUAAUAUACUGUUGUGCAUUGCUUAAGUUAGGUUGAUAAAUAUCUAAACUAAGAGGUGUUAUAUUUAUGCUAAAAUGAGUAUUUUGUAGAUAAUUAAAGACUAAAGUUGAUUGUUUAAUUAGGAAUAAUGCGUUAAUUUUAAAUGUGAAAAAGGAACUCGGCAUCUAUGUUUCGCCUGUUUAACAAAAACAUGGCUCUUUG
rnacentral:rRNA from 1 species